rnacentral:rRNA from 1 species
UCUUUCUUUGCUGGCGACCGGCGCACGGGUGAGUAACACGUAUCCAACCUGCCCUUUACUCGGGGAUAGCCUUUCGAAAGAAAGAUUAAUACCCGAUAGUAUAAUGAUUCCGCAUGGUUUCAUUAUUAAAGGAUUCCGGUAAAGGAUGGGGAUGCGUUCCAUUAGGUUGUUGGUGAGGUAACGGCUCACCAAGCCUUCGAUGGAUAGGGGUUCUGAGAGGAAGGUCCCCCACAUUGGAACUGAGACACGGUCCAA